GACAGCAGCCGCCGCGGUAAUACGAAGGGGGCUAGCGUUGCUCGGAAUUACUGGGCGUAAAGGGAGCGUAGGCGGGUCGCUUAGUCAGAGGUGAAAUCCCGGGGCUCAACCCAUAGUCUGCAUGGGAAACUGCGAGGCUUGAGGAUGGGAGAGGUGAGUGGAAUUUCCGGUGUAGCGGUGAAAUGCGUAGAUAUCGGAAGGAACACCUGUGGCGAAAGCGGCUCACUGGACCAUUUCUGACGCUGAUGCACGAAAGCUAGGGGAGCAAACAGGAUUAGAGACCCCAGUAGUCCCUGUCUCUUAUAC
rnacentral:rRNA from 1 species